UGGGGAAUAUUGCACAAUGGGCGAAAGCCUGAUGCAGCGACGCCGCGUGAGUGAAGAAGUAUUUCGGUAUGUAAAGCUCUAUCAGCAGGGAAGAUAAUGACAGUACCUGACUAAGAAGCCCCGGCUAACUACGUGCCAGCAGCCGCGGUAAUACGUAGGGGGCAAGCGUUAUCCGGAUUUACUGGGUGUAAAGGGAGCGUAGACGGAACGGCAAGUUUGAAGUGAAAUACCCGGGCUUAACCCGGGAACUGCUUUGAAAACUGUCGAUCUAGAGUGUCGGAGAGGUAAGUGGAAUUCCUGGUGUAGUAGUGAAAUGCGUAGAUAUCAGGAAGAACACCGGAGGCGAAGGCGGCUUACUGGACGAUAACUGACGUUGAGGCUCGAAAGCGUGGGGAGCAAACAGGAUUAGAUACCCUGGUAGU
rnacentral:rRNA from 1 species